rnacentral:tRNA from 1 species
GCGAUCAUGGCGGAACUGGUAGACGCGUACGUUUGAGGGGCGUAUGGUUAUGCCGUGUGAGUUCAAGUCUCACUGGUCGCACCA